UGUGUUAAUAAAAGUAAAUAUUAGCAAAUAUGAAACACUUAGUAUUAAAACUGGGAUCUAAAUAAGGAGACUAUAAGGCAUAAAUAUUUCCCCAGUGUAAACUAGGCCAAGAUAAAGUAUUUACUGUUAAUUAAUACAAAUUUAUUUGUCCAUAAAUACAAGGUGACAUUUUUCUGCUGAAACGUUUCCAUUGGAAAUUAACCCUUUCACUGUUAUUGAGGGGAUAAUUGUUCCAAGUGGGAAAUUCUUCUCUACAUCAUACCGUAUUUUAUGUAGGCCACACUGUAAGGCCAGAUUAAAUUUCUGUAUUCCUGUUUAAAUUCGCCAAUAAGGUGGCGUGUACAAUCGCACUUGUAUGACAUCACAUAGAGCCAAUGAGAUUUCUGCUUUCUACGAUGCUAGAACAGAUAGCGGCAGUUGGUCGCAAUUGUAAGUUUGGAGAAGCAUUCUUGCUAGUUUGUGGCAAAUAACACGGCAUAAUUAAGAUUUAUUUUUGUCAUAAGUCUCAAAUUAUAUAUACUACAAUGACAGGCAUUGUUACAUCAGUAGACAACAUUGUUCCAUUUAAGUACCUAGUUGCCACAGACAGAGCAUGAUAAUACAAUGGCCUUCCAACUAAGAAUUUGAAAUUGCCAGAUUUAUCUACAGAGACAUCAUUGGAGAGAGAGUGGAGAACAUCCCUAAUCUUGUCAGAUAUAAGAUAUUGUGAUGUGGCACUAAAUGGGCAUAUGGCUCGCACUGGAGGGGUGGGCCCCCCUACUCCUCUCCUUGACUAGUGGAUGUGGGAUAUGGGUGUGGUCAUCACAGAAUGUCCCAGGAUGUAGUGUUCCCUCGACAAAAGGAAGGUUCAGGAAAGGGAACAUAGGAGUUCCUUAGCCUGGAAAGUUCGAAGAAGAGACUCGAGUGCUGGUGGUCUGGCGUGGGUCCACCGUGGCCCAGUGUGGAACAGGAAAUUGAACAGUAGCAGACAGUGGACAGUGAGGGAUCUAGCGAGAUAGUGAGCUAGUGAGUGCGAGAAGACAUCGAUCAGUCCAGUGUGGUGCUGAGAGCUGAGGGCUGCGUUGUGAAGAGUUUCAAGUUUGGAGACCGGAACAGCUCAACAGACAGUAUUCGGGGAGUUUGUGUCACGUACUUGAAGAGUUAGUCUUAGCAACGGUUUUGUCCAAUUUUCCUGUGUGUAGACUACCAUAACUUGAUUGUUAAGUAAAUCACGGUUCACCUAGAGCCUAAGUAGUAGUCGUUGUCAUCAUCACAAUAUUUUUCUGCUUAAAGUUUCUGAAUAAAUGUCAUCUCAUGCAUGUGUGCAGUGUGUAAGAGUAUGUUUCAGGAUCGUUCAUUUCUUGACUGUUAAGACAUAUUUGGAACAGAAAUUAUAUUUUGCUAUUUGAUUGCUUUGUUCAGUAACAUACACUAGAUUUUACUUGUUUAUAAAUAUUUGAAAUAUGUAGUUAUUACUGUACAUAAGUUAUUGUAAAACUGAAGAGAUGGAACACAGGUCUUUUCCAGAAAAAUUAUGAGAUUUAAACUGGCCUCUAGAUACGUCAACUAAAUAAUCAUCCAACGUACCCAUCCAAACCUUAAAAGAAACUAUACAGACAAACAGUGAGAUUCACACAUUUUUGAAAAGACCUGGGAACAUGUGGGGAUCAAAACAAUGAUCUCACUCUCACAUCUUUAUCAUCUAGCAGCCAAGGUCAGUCUGCAGUUGCUUUUUAUUUGUGGUGUUAGGGUAUUUGUUUACUUGUCAUCCAGAUUUUCAAGGCAGUAAGCACAUCUAAAAUUUCAGCCAGUCUAUUGCAGACUACAGGGUGCUACAUCUCUGAAGACGGUCAAUUUCAUAUUAGCUGUUUUGAGAAUGUAAGAUCUCACCAUUUGUUGCCCUGGUCCAGCUUCACUAAUCAAAAAACUCUCUUUUAAGGUCACUUUCUAUUAUGUAGUCCUUUGAUUUAUGGUUUAUGUAACAACAGUCAAUUGCUCAGGCUUUAUAGUGUCAAGUGAUAUGAUAAUUAAUAAUAAAUUACAAACGAAAUGGAACAAACCGGUCAUAGCGUGAUUGAAUGUUCUAACUUGGAAUUUGUUUUGUUGGAGUAAGAACCUAUUUGCUUAAUAUUGGCAAAAUGAAAAUUUUUUCAGAGGCAAAGAAGAAAGGGAUAAAAAGUAGAUAAAUACAGGUGAUUGUACCUCAUAGAAACAAUGAUAAAAUGGGCAACGACAGUCAGUACCAGAAUGGGAGUCCAUUGUUUUUACCAUUAAGAUAUGAAUACAACAGUAUGGAACAAUGUUUAUAUUCCAUAGAUCUUUCACAGCACAAGCCAAGGAUGUGGAAUACAUCUUAAUAUUAAUACCAACACUUUGUACAAAUAUGACUGCAUAGUUGGAGCAACCAUUUACUAUGUAUCAUAAGUUUCAACUGAAAUAAAUUCUAGUGUGGAAGGAGUGACAAAAAAUAGAAUCUUAC